GGCGACGUACCCAAGUGGUUAAGGGAGAGGUCUGCAACCCGCCUCAGGCGGGCGAAUACGCUCGUCGCCUCCA
rnacentral:tRNA from 1 species